GGGGGAAUCGGGCCGUGGGCUUUAAAAGCGGAGCCCUUUGUGCUCCGGAGCCCGGCGGGGCCCCCGCACCAGCAGCCGGCGGGGCCGGGAUGCGGGGCCGCCCGCAGCCGCUCCCCCCCCCGAGGAGCCCUGGACCACGCUGCACCGGCGGCCUCAGGACCCCAGCUUCCCCCUCUCGGCAGGGAUGCGACCACCGUGAUUGCCAGCUGGAGUGCGGCUGAGCACCCACGCAGCGCAAAGCACCCUGGCGGGGCUUGCCGUCUGCCCCGCGGCACUCGGGAUGGGGACGAGCCCUGGCUGGGGACCAAGGGCAGGCACUCACAAGCCCCCCCACCACGGACGAGCCCUGGCUGGGGACCAAGGGCAGGCACUCACAAGCCCCCCCACCACGUGCAGGCAGCCGUUUGCAAGAGCAAGAGCUGGGGCUGACCGCAGGAGCCUGUGGUGGCUGCAGGGGGGGCCCGGUGGCCCCAGGGAGCAGCUCAGGGGCUGUUACGCAAAUCAAGAGGAGCCAGGAAACCGGUUGCAGGGCUGUGGAGGGCACAGGAGUGAGUCUGAAUUUCCCUUCUUGCCUCUGAGUCAUCGGGGCUGACUUCCAUGGCUCCGAGAUGCUGUGGCAGCUUAGAGCCUUGGCCGGGCUCCUUCCAGCAUGGCAUCGCUCUUGCACCUGGGAACCAGCUGGACCUUGUCCUUGUGGCUGGGCAGGGCUGGGCAUUGAGGGUCCCUCUGCUCCCAGGCUUGGUCCCCACGUGUGGCGCAGCCCCAUGGUCUCCACACUGGCUCUGUGGGUGCUGCAACCACAGCCAGGACCUAGAGCUGUUUUGGGAAGGGGCUAGUAGCAAUGUGGGGUGGUGACUGACUGAGGGGCUGAUAGUGGGACAGAGUGGAGGCAGUUUUGGGAAAAGACCAAUUCUGGCUGUUCUUGGCUCAAUCUUUGUUCCUGGGAUCCUUCUACACAUGGGUCUGUAACAGCCUCUGGGGACAGUGGGAUUGCUGCAGGACCCUCAUGGAGGGGAUGUUCCUGUGGCACCUCUACUGUGGGAUGUGGAUGGGCAGAUAAUUGCUUUGGGAAUGGAGAAGCUGAAAAAGGGGCACUGGUGGCUGCUAGCAUGAAAUGUCCAAAGAUUUAUUCCUGGUACAGUCUCCAGAAAGUCACCCUGGUUCCCUCCCUGUGGCACAUCCCUGGGAGCACUGUAGGUUAAGAAUGGGUUUGGGGAGGCUGUACCCAAGAGGGCAGGGACUGGUUUCCCUCUGCUCUGUCCCAGGAUGGUCUUCUUGCAGUGUCCUUCAUCACAGCCCUGCUGGCAACAGCAAGGGAUGAUGUCCUUGCCUGCUCAGGCUUUCCAGAGAAACCCCACAGGUACGUCCCCAGGUACCAUCACCGCAGCACUGCCACCCUGCCCUGCUGUUUGCACUCUGGUGGUCCACGCGAUGGGCACAGGCGCAGUGGCUGUUCCCUGGGAAUCAGGUACUGGGGACCCUGUGAGUUCACAGGCACGUGGUGGCCGGGCUGGAGGCAGCUGCCUGCUGUCGGAUACGAAAGGCCUCGCUUUGCCCGCCACAAAGGAGGAGGAGUGUGUGUGUGCACGUGAACAAGAGCGGCCAACACCCGUGGCAGAGCACACCCAGGCUUCUGCCACUUCCUUGCCCCACAGGAGGGACACGGUGGCCUGGCUCUGUGUGAUGGCCACCACUAAGCAUGCCACCCCAGUGUAGCCAGCUCGGCAGCACCCGUCCUUCCUGCAGACCAAGCCGCAGGUAAGCACGUGGGAUGUUAUCUGCUUAACACAGAGGAGCAGAGCCCAGAUGUCAGAGCAGCUCCUGGUAUGUUGGAGGAGGAUAAGCUUGCCCAGAGCCUGGCCUGGCCUGGGCAAGAAAAUUAGUUCAUGGCAGCUGAAGGUCCCCAUUGCCACAUGCUCUGCCUCAGUGCCUGCUGGAAUUGCCCUGGCAGGCAGAUUUCCUCUGGCACAAGUAAAACACUGGUGGGUAAACGCCCUUGUGCCAGGGGAGAUGGGCAUCCCAGCAGGAUGGGGUGUGCACAGCCUCUGGGCUGUUCUCUGCAGGAGAAAUGCCCCUUAAUGAUCCUGAAAGCACCUUUGGAUGACGGGGGCCAGGCACCAUGUGGCCCUGUGCCACUGCCUGCAGACGGGCACUGUUGCUCCAGUGGGAUGUGGUGCCCAUUUUUGCUGCUCGAAGGUGGGGUGUGCAGGAUGAGCCGCUCUCUGGCUCCUACUGCAGCCGUUUGCCCCUGUGCCCUCCUUCCCAGCCGCCUUCCCGUGCAGCAGGGAGGCAGAGCACAGCUGAAAAUACACCCACUGGGUUGUCGUUGUCCCCGUUCCCCCCCCCCCCCCCCCCCCCCCUUCCUGCCUAUUUGCUUCCUCCCCUCCUGGCCUUGCCUUUCAAUGGGGCUUCCUAAGAAAACAAAGGUUGCGCCGUUACGCUUUGCCUAUAUAUACACACAAACACACACACACAUGUACGUGUGGCUGGCACCCUUCUAAUAAACUUUGACCACAUUUCCAUCCCAGUGGACAGGGGGACGGCAAUCUGCAAACAUGCUUAGGUCAAUGGGGCUGGCAAAAAUGAGCAACUGGGGGAGGGGGAGAGAGCCUUGCCUUUCCUUUAGCACAGAGGCGAGCUGCUCCACAGCUCAAUCCCUUAUUAGACAGUGGGGAAGCUUUACGUGGGGCACCCAGCACCCUCCACCUGCAAAAAGGGCUUUGAUCUGGCUUCAGACCUGAGCUGUGCUGCUGUGGGAGAUCCCUGGGGACCGGUGGCACGACUGCCAGCCUGCUUACCUGGGAUAAGCCCCCAACAAACUCCUUGCACAACUGGGGAGGAACUGAGGUGCUGGAUCUAGGUAUAAAAAAAAUGCCUUUUUUUUUUUUUUUCUCCUCUGAGUUGCAUCUGCUGGUAUCUAAAAACACCAGUUUUCUUUUGUGCAGAAUAGGAAUGUGUUCCUCCUCACCCCCCAGCCACCACCUGAGCCCUUCCUGCCUGCUCCCCACAUCUCGGAUGUGUUUUCAGUGCUGGCAGGGCAGGAGUGCUGGGGGGCCAUGCCCCAGCCCAGCCUGAUACAGAAAAUCCCCAUAUCAAACUCUGGCUGGGAGUGGGGCACAGAGUCCAGCUCUGUACCUGCUGCUGAUGCCACAGCCUGCACCCCAGAGACACUGCUGGGGAAAACUGAGCUCCACCAACCCAGGAGCAGCAAGCUGCUACUGAAUGUGCUCAUCCCACAGCUCCCCAUUCCAUCUUCCCUCUGAAAAAAGCCCUAACUGCCCAAAACCCACUGCAAACUCCACCCAUCAGUGUUCAGGUUGAGAGCAAGGGGUUGCGGUCACCAGGGACUUAUCUGCUGUAGUUUUCCAGAAACUUCCCCUCUGGACUUGGCAUUACCACGGUGUUGCCGUGCCCUCUCAGCAGCGGGGUGCCGGUGGGGAUGACGGCUCCAGCCCACGCGGUGCUCGGGUAACCCACGUUGCCCCAGGGGCUGUGCUUCCUUCGCCCCAUUCAGGCUAAAAAGUAGUCUAAUUAUUAAAA